GGGGAAUGGGCAUUGAACUUUGUGAUAUUGCAAAAAUUGAUAAAAGAAAAUUUUGGCCCACUAUCAGGCCUAUGAAAAGAACACGAUGUACAGUUGAAAAUGAUAUUAUGUGAAAACAUUUCGAAAGAAUUAUCGGUGAAAAUCCAGCCGAUCUUUGUGAUAAAGUAUUGAACUUAAUAAAUAAUGAACAUUUUGAAAAUAUAGGCAUAGAUAUCCUAG
rnacentral:lncRNA from 1 species